ACCCGCUGAAUUUAAGCCAAUCAAUA
rnacentral:rRNA from 1 species